AUGUGUAGGAUAGGUGGGAGGCUUUGAAGUGUGGACGCCAGUCUGCAUGGAGCCGACCUUGAAAUACCACCCUUUAAUGUUUGAUGUUCUAACGUUGACCCGUAAUCCGGGUUGCGGACAGUGUCUGGUGGGUAGUUUGACUGGGGCGGUCUCCUCCUAAAGAGUAACGGAGGAGCACGAAGGUUGGCUAAUCCUGGUCGGACAUCA
rnacentral:rRNA from 1 species